UUCCUUCAGUAGCAUAUAUACUGAAAUUUAAACAAUACAGAAAAGAUUUGUAUGGCUCUUGCACAAAGACAACACUUGAAUUUGUAAAAAUUUUCCAUAUUUU